rnacentral:rRNA from 1 species
UGCAGUCGGACGGGAUAGAAGAAGCUUGCUUUUCUUGAGAGUGGCGCACGGGUGCGUAACACGUAUGUAACCUACCUUGUUCAGGGGGAUAGCCUCUCGAAAGAGAGAUUAAGACCGCAUAACAUUAUUGGAUGGCAUCAUUUGAUAAUCAAAUAUUUAUAGGAACAAGAUGGGCAUGCGGAACAUUAGCUAGUUGGUGAGGUAACUGCUCACCAAGGCUACGAUGUUUAGGGGAUCUGAGAGGAUGACCCCCCACACUGGUACUGAGACACGGACCAGACUCCUACGGGAGGCAGCAGUAAGGAAUAUUGGUCAAUGGGCGGAAGCCUGAACCAGCCAUGCCGCGUGCAGGAAGACGGCCCUACGGGUUGUAAACUGCUUUUGUACCGGAAUAAACCUUUGGUCGUGACCAGAGCUGAAUGUACGGUAAGAAUAAGGAUCGGCUAACUCCGUGCCAGCAGCCGCGGUAAUACGGAGGAUCCAAGCGUUAUCCGGAUUUAUUGGGUUUAAAGGGUGCGUAGGUGGCCUGUUAAGUCAGGGGUGAAAGACGGUAGCUUAACUAUCGCAGUGCCUUUGAUACUGACGGGCUUGAAUACACUAGAGGUAGGCGGAAUGUGACAAGUAGCGGUGA